rnacentral:lncRNA from 1 species
CUUCCUUCCAAAUGUCAAUUGCUGUGAAUUCCAACACUUCUGUUGGUACUCAGUCAACAAUAGUUCACAUUUUGGAGGAGAUAAUACUGCAUUUGUAAAGCUGGAAGUAAAAGACAAUUUUAGUUUUUUGUCACUUUUUUUCUGUCCACUGAAUAAUUUUCUAAUCAGAGUGUAGAUUUUUUUUUUUUUCUCUCUAUUAUUUUUUACUUCUCAUUCUGCCACAUUAAGUCACCAGAAUAGUCUAUGGAGAGCAACUGCCACUGACUUUGGUGUGUAAUCCUGGGAGUAUCCUUGCCCUCUUCAGUGAUGAGCAAAGACACAACCUAUUUUCUCUUCCCUUUCUCUGUCCAGUACAGGUUCCUUAACUCAUGGUUUCAGCCAUGAGACAGAACAUCCAGUGUGAUUACAGCAAGUCUAUAUGAUUCUCGAUUGCUUUUCCCAAGAAGAACAAGGUAGAUGGAUUGUUUGAAUCCAUUAGACACACUCCAGCUGAGAUGAACCACUGCUGCUGUCAACACUGCCACCUGCAGAGAUAAUGCCAAGGGAGUGGGAAAGAUCCUACCAGAAUCUGAGACUCAGGAGCAUGGAUUUGGGAGAAAAUCUUUGCAGUGCUCAUUAAGCUUCACAGUUGGACUUGUUUGUUGGGGAUUCCUUAAUUCAUUUUUUUCUUUCAUCUUGGAGAAAAUCUGGUGUGGGUGUAAGCUAUUUGGAGGAAGGAUCGCACCUCUGGAUCCAUACUGUAUAUAAGAAAUCUUCGGAAAACUGAGAAAAUCUAUCCUCCAACACUGGAAGACGAUAUUACUGUCAAAAUAAAUAAUCAGUAUUUGGGAUAUCUGGCUUCUUU